rnacentral:rRNA from 1 species
GACGAACGCUGGCGGCGUGCUUAACACAUGCAAGUCGAACGGAAAGGCCCUGCUUUUGUGGGGUGCCCGAGUGGCGAACGGGUGAGUAACACGUGAGUAACCUGCCCUUGACUUUGGGAUAACUUCAGGAAACUGGGGCUAAUACCGGAUAGGAGCUCCUGCUGCAUGGUGGGGGUUGGAAAGUUUCGGCGGUUGGGGAUGGACUCGCGGCUUAUCAGCUUGUUGGUGGGGUAGUGGCUUACCAAGGCUUUGACGGGUAGCCGGCCUGAGAGGGUGACCGGCCACAUGGGGACUGAGAUACGGCCCAGACUGCUACGGGAGGCAGCAGUGGGGAAUAUUGCACAAUGGGCGGAAGCCUGAUGCAGCAACGCCGCGUGCGGGAUGACGGCCUUCGGGUUGUAAACCGCUUUCGCCUGUGACGAAGCGUGAGUGACGGUAAUGGGUAAAGAAGCACCGGCUAACUACGUG